CGAGGGGUAACAAGUCUAGCUUGCUAGAUGUUGACGACCGGCGCACGGGUGCCGCAACGCGUAUACAAUCUACCCCCUACUGUGGGAUAGCCCAGAGAAAUUUGGAUUAAGACCACAUGGUACCAUUUUACGGCAUCGUAUUAAUGGUUAAAGGUUACGGUAGGGGAUGAGUAUGCGUCCCAUUAGUUAGUUGGCGAGGUAACGGCUCACCAAGACCGCGAUGGGUAGGGGCCCUGAGAGGGGGAUCCCCCACACUGGUACUGAGACACGGACCAGACUCCUACGGGAGGCAGCAGUGAGGAAUAUUGGACAAUGGGCGGGAGCCUGAUCCAGCCAUGCCGCGUGCAGGAAGAAUGCCCUAUGGGUAGUAAACUGCUUUUAUACGGGAAGAAAAAGAGCUACGUGUAGCUUACUGACGGUACCGUAAGAAUAAGGACCGGCUAACUCCGUGCCAGCCGCCGCGGAAAUACGGCAUAG
rnacentral:rRNA from 1 species